rnacentral:ncRNA from 1 species
AUCAGAAAAGGGCAAACCUAUUGAAAAAUAGGGACGCAAAGUCACAGAUCUAAGGAUUGGGAUACUAGGCGAAACCCGGUGUCCCGACUAUGGUGGCUGGACUACCUAA